rfam:Cavia porcellus supercont2_36 genomic scaffold, whole genome shotgun sequence.
GGGGAUUUAGCUCAGUGGCGUAAGCACCUGCCUUGCAAGCAGGUGGUCGUGAGUUCGAUCCCCG